rnacentral:rRNA from 1 species
UACGAAGGGGGCUAGCGUUGCUCGGAAUCACUGGGCGUAAAGGAUGCGUAGGCGGGCCUUUAAGUCAGGGGUGAAAUCCUGGAGCUCAACUCCAGAACUGCCUUUGAUACUGAAGAUCUUGAGUUCGGGAGAGGUGAGUGGAACUGCGAGUGUAGAGGUGAAAUUCGUAGAUAUUCGCAAGAACACCAGUGGCGAAGGCGGCUCACUGGCCCGAUACUGACGCUGAGGCACGAAAGCGUGGGGAGCAAACAGG